GCGACCCCAGGUCAGGCGGGAUYACCCGCUGAGUUUAA
rnacentral:rRNA from 1 species